rnacentral:rRNA from 1 species
AGCGAACGCUGGCGGCAGGCCUAACACAUGCAAGUCGAACGAACUCUUCGGAGUUAGUGGCGGACGGGUGAGUAACACGUGGGAACGUGCCUUUAGGCUCGGAAUAACUCAGGGAAACUUGUGCUAAUACCGAAUGUGCCCUUCGGGGGAAAGAUUUAUCGCCUUUAGAGCGGCCCGCGUCUGAUUAGCUAGUUGGUGAGGUAAAGGCUCACCAAGGCGACGAUCAGUAGCUGGUCUGAGAGGGUGAUCAGCCACAUUGGGACUGAGACACGGCCCAAACUCCUACGGGAGGCAGCAGUGGGGAAUCUUGCGCAAUGGGCGAAAGCCUGACGCAGCCAUGCCGCGUGAAUGAUGAAGGUCUUAGGAUUGUAAAAUUCUUUCACCGGGGACGAUAAUGACGGUACCCGGAGAAGAAGCCCCGGCUAACUUCGUGCCAGCCGCCGCGGUAA